rnacentral:tRNA from 1 species
ACAGUUUUGACGGUUGCCUGAGCAGCCUUCGUAAUGCGGGGGUCACAGGUUCGAGUCCUGUAAGCGGCACCA